GUUUGAUCCUGGCUCAGAUUGAACGCUGGCGGCAGGCUUAACACAUGCAAGUCGAGCGGGAAUAGGUAGCUUGCUACCGAUUUCUAGCGGCGGACGGGUGAGUAAUGCUUAGGAAUCUGCCUAUUAGUGGGGGACAACAUUUCGAAAGGGAUGCUAAUACCGCAUACGUCCUACGGGAGAAAGCAGGGGAUCUUCGGACCUUGCGCUAAUAGAUGAGCCUAAGUCGGAUUAGCUAGUUGGUGGGGUAAAGGCCUACCAAGGCGACGAUCUGUAGCGGGUCUGAGAGGAUGAUCCGCCACACUGGGACUGAGACACGGCCCAGACUCCUACGGGAGGCAGCAGUGGGGAAUAUUGGACAAUGGGGGGAACCCUGAUCCAGCCAUGCCGCGUGUGUGAAGAAGGCCUUUUGGUUGUAAAGCACUUUAAGCGAGGAGGAGGCUACUCUAGUUAAUACCUAGGGAUAGUGGACGUUACUCGCAGAAUAAGCACCGGCUAACUCUGUGCCAGCAGCCGCGGUAAUACAGAGGGUGCGAGCGUUAAUCGGAUUUACUGGGCGUAAAGCGUGCGUAGGCGGCUUUUUAAGUCGGAUGUGAAAUCCCUGAGCUUAACUUGGGAAUUGCAUUCGAUACUGGGAAGCUAGAGUAUG
rnacentral:rRNA from 1 species